UCUGUUUAAUAAUUGCUAAAACAUUCUUGUUGCUUGCGUCUGAUUGGCUAAAGAGAAGCAGGAAGUGUUUUCGUUAGUGAAAGAGGUUGUGUUCUCUUCAUCCGUUCGGAGGUGCAGACGUUUUUUUUUCUUUCUCCUUUUAAUAAACAUUAAAGGAUUCCAUCUCUUCUUUUGCCAUUCGUAGAGAAGUGCCAUCCACUGAAAAACAACGAACCCAUCAAUUUACACUCGCAAUCAGGCUGGCAUGUUCAUGGUCAAAAUGGUCAUCACGGUCGCAGUUACUCAUUAAGUUAUGGAAGACGUGUUGUCCGAGUUUUCAACAAACAGGUUUCACUGCUCCCCCUGCCUGCGUGACUUUCCUCUCACGUUCCAAAACAUGCAUGCUGAGACCCACGACAUGAUCCUUCAUUAAGUCCGCCACGGGGAGUGCACCGCUCACAGCGUCAACAAAAUAAGCUCCUGAGUCGGCUCUCCCAGAUGCUGGCGGAUUGCGCCGACAUGUAACAGUCCUCGCUCUUUGUUUGCAGCGGUGGCGGGCAAAGAGAAGGGAGGGGGGGAGGUGUUUGUGAGGUGAGAUAUUGCCGUACGCGCGCGCACGCACUCACAUAAGACAAAAGCCUCCCCUCGGUGCUCAGUCCUCGUCUAUUUACACUUGCGUCUGAGAGGGCUUGCCUGUAUACGACGUAGUGUGUCGUUACUGCACAGUAAGGCAGAGUACUUGUUGGCGCCCCCCAAAGUUCAUGGUCCUGACACGAGGCAAACAGACCACACCCGUCGAAGGGAAAUUGGCCUGUGAGUGACAGGAAA